CGGAGCGCCUGAGCAAUCUCAGCAGAUGGCCGCACAGUCGGGAACAUCUGGAGGUCGCUGGAGAGUGCCCUUAGGAGGAGUCAGAGCCCUUCCUGUGCCCCCUCCCCUCCCUGCCUAGAGGGGAGAGAGAGACUUGAAAAUCAGAAAAAAACAGCAUUCGGAGAGUGCCCCAAGCUUGGACAGGGGUCAGACGCCAUCCCUGUCACCUACCAGCUAUGGCUGUCAGAAGCUGGCCGAUCUAAAGUUAAUAGAGCAUCAGGACCACAUGAAGAAAUAGAAAAGAAGAAAUGGAAGAAAAAGAAUGCCUGUCCAAGCACCCUUCUGAUUCUGCUAUAGUAAGAAAUGGUUAUUAUUACACAACCACGGAUACGGGUACCAGUACAUAUACAUGUACAUAAAGCUGAAAUAAAAGUUUGACAGAACAAUACUUACGCUUACCGCAGGUAAUACACUCUGCUACUUUCCUUUCUUUCCUAUUUAUUUGAUCAGGAAUAACAGUGGCGAUCACAACCUUGCAAUUUGAUUUCACGUCUCACUAACAGGUUACAAUGGGAAGUUUGAGAACUUCUGUUUCAGUACCUGUCAUGUUCAAACAAAAUAAACCCAAAGAACAACAGAACACGUCCUCCAGCCUAGUUGCUCUGUGCUCACUGCUGUCUCUCUUCCCAGCCUUUUCUCUGAUACAUUCACUUAGAAAUAUUUACUGAGCAUAUACUGAGUUCCUCACCUUGUAUCAGUUAAACUUCUUAAAUGACAGUCUAGAUUCAUUGUUUUCACUUUCCAUUCAUCUCUAGAAAACCAUAAACUGGUCUUUGCCACUGCUAAGCUCCCAACAAUGCUCACCAACCCUCAUGUGAUGUUUGUCACAGCUGACUCUCCUGGCUUCUCUCCUCAUUUUCUCUCAUACCAUUGUCUGCUCCUUGUUGGUCUCCUUUGCUGACUCCUCCUUGGUUCCAGUCCAUACAUGACUGCUCCCCUGGUUCUUCUCUGCAUUCCCUACUCCUCACACUCUGCGAUGGGUUCCUGGGGCUGCUCACCCCACCCCACCUCAUGCUUCAUGUCUUCAGUCGCUUGCCAUGCCGAAGAGUGCAUAUCUUUAUUUCUAGCUGUCAUCUCUCAUGUCGGCCUUUGUCAGACCUCUCUGGCCACCUGCCUGCUCAUCGUCUCCUUUUGGGAGAGUGCCACAGGCCUUACACUUCAUUUGCCUGAAUAAAAGACUUAGCUCCCACUCAAACCUGCCCCUCCCGAGUCCUCAUCUUAGGGAAAGGUGCCACCAUCCACCCAGCUGUCCAAGGCCCCUCUCUCUUCCUCGUCCCUGCAUUCAGUGUAUCCCUAAGCUUCUCAAAUCUGUCCUCUUCUCUCUGUUUGAAUUACCUAAUCCUAGUUUUCAGAUGACGACAUUUCUUGCCUAGAUCAUGGAAGUCACCUCCUCAAGGUCUCUCUGCCUACACAUCAUCACCUCCAGACCAAGCUCUUUGGAGCAGCAAGAGGAUUUCUUUUAAAAUGCGAUACCAAUCUUGUCUCUACCUGGUUUAAAAUCUUCUCAUGACUAUUGCUUUUACAAUGAGGUUGUAAUCGUUUCUCGUGACGUAAAGAAUCCUGUGUAUUCUGGCCCCCGCUACCUCUCCUGCCUCACUUGUCACCUGUAUCUCUGUGUCCAGACAUACACAACCACCUUUAGUUUUUGGACUAGGUGCCCUCUCCCCUCCCAGCCUUUGGAUCCGCUGUUCUCUCUAACUGGAGCACUGGCUAGAGUCUACUGCUUCCUCUGGCUGCAACCUAACUGACAACUAUACAGGAGGCCUUGUCUUGACCCCCUACAGGUGGAUCCUGUGCUCUGUCUGGAGCACUCUCUGCUUCUCCUGUCAUGGUCCUUACCACCCUUUGUCAAAAUUGGCUCAUGCUUGUCCUCUCCACCUCCAGACAGUUAGCCCUGUGAAUCUAGAGACUCUGCUGUCUGUGCUUGUCACUGUGCCCCCUAAAUCCAGUCAGAACCUAGCACGCAGUAGGCUCUCAGUGAGUAUUUGUAGAAGAAUGGAUAUUUAUACUUAAUGGAUGUUGAAGCAUAUUAGAACCACUAUCGUGUUAGCAAAAGACAGUAAUCGGAUGUUUGGAACUUCGACUGUUACAAUCAGAGUCAUAGGACAUUGGAAUCAUGGACAUACAGUGAUUGGAUUCAGAGAAUGUAGAUGCAUUCACAGAAUGACCAGGGACUAUUUCAGUUCAUCCACUUUCCCACUAUGGUCUUGGGCAGAUCGAUGAAGCCCUUUCUUUGAAUUUCCAUUUGAUUUUUUUUACAUCCAUAAAUAAAGUUUUAUUGGAACAUA